rnacentral:lncRNA from 1 species
AUCUGAUUUUCGUCGUAAUGGUGCUCGAUCAGCCAGCGCGCGAACGGCAAGUCCCCACUGUCGAGCGCCGCGCCGAGCACCGUCUUGGCAUCGUAGGCGUCACGGGGCAACGCCUUGACGACGGCGUGGUUCUUUAGGCGAAGGGCAUCGAAAAUGAGCACCCUGCAAUUGCCUCUCCAUUCAUGGAUUAGUGCCGUUUUCAGGGUAUCGCGGACGUGCGGGUCUUGCUUGACGGCAAAAACGGCCGCCAUCGUCGCCGUCGUAUUGUGCCUCAUCACCCGACGCCAAAUGUCCAAGGCCAACUUGUCAUAGUAAGGCCUAGGCGAGAUGCCGCCGCGUGGGUCACCGGACGGAGGCAAGCCUUGUGCGCGUUGAGAAUGGCGACGACAAAUGUGGGCUAGAGUCGUCAUCAGAGACGACGGACGAUCGUGUCGGAUGGCGUCGGUCGCCGCAUCGCGCAGGUCAUCGAGAGACAAUAGAUCUGCGAGCAUGUCGGCGCCCCGUACAUAUUGGCGACGUGUGCACAUGCGGUAUUAUGUGGUAAAUGCGCUGUACGAGUUGAUAGUGCGCUCGCCCGUCGCGAAGCAGACUCGGACGGAUUCGCGAUCAGACAGCGUGAGGGCACGGUCAAAGUGACGGUCGAGGCCCGACGCUGCCAUGGCAUCGACGAACCUCCAUCGCCACGCCGCAACAUCUGCGGACGGCGCCAGUUGGGCAGUGAGCGUCUCCAAGGCGGAAUCGUUGUCUGAAGCGGCAAACAAGUCGGCUAUUGCGCUGGCGCAAAUGGCUGCGCCAAUCGCCAUCCUUGCGGCGGCGUCAUCUGUCGCGCGGGGUGAGUCAAUAAGCAUCGCAGAAAUGGUCGCCACGAUCCGGCGACGAUCAGCCUCAGAUGGACUAGAGACGACCGCACGCCAAAGGCGGCAGGUCAUGCGUGCCGCAAACCGAAAGUGCGGGUCGAGCAGCGCCCGACCACGGUGAUCUGCGCCAUUGAGAACGUAAUCCCAUAAUUCGCGCGAGAGCACCGCGGUGGGACCGUUGGCAUCGCUAGAGGGCAUGGACAUGGCCAGUCAGUGGAUGCAAACCUGCAAGGCGGUCACGCAGAGACGACAACGAAUGGAGCGAAAAAAAGACAAACGAAAAGCAGAAAGCCAAUGGUAUUUUUUGUCGCUUAGAUUUUUUCCAUUGGCUGCGUCUGCUGUGUGGCUUUUUCAGUACCGGCCUCACAAGCGGCGCCACCAUAAUUUGUUUUGGUCGUCGUGGCCGACUGCCGACACCAUCAAUGAGGACCGGAA